rnacentral:lncRNA from 1 species
CGCGGCGUCCGUUGGUUGUCAAGAUGGCAACGGCGGGGUCUCUGCCGCCACCUCUGCUAUUGCCAAGCAAGGACGCCGCCGUCGCAGCUGCAGUUGCCACCACAGUCACCAACGCCGCUGCGCGGGAGCCAGGGCUGCCGCGACCAACCCUCCAGCGCCCGUGACGCGGGGCCUGAGAGACUGAUUGUAGGGAGGGGCCGAAGAGAAGAGCAGGAAGCCGGAGCCGCCAUGAGGGAGCCACUGGGGGUGAGCCGGGAGGCGGCGCUGAGGUGAAGGAUGCUGACCCGGAGGCCUGGAGGCCAGAGCGCGGUCCCUGGUCUGGGCACUGAAUCCUCGGACUCGCCGGGCAGAGCACCUGUCAGCCCUCGGGAGAGGGGCGGGCACCAUCGACUUGGCGCUUACCUGUAUCCUUCCCAGCCUGUGGCUGUCCGGGUAGCGGUGUUCGAAGUGGGGCCCGUCUUUUAUCCAUUAGAUUCCCAUUACUUCUGACGCAAGGUGAUUCAAACUAGCAAGUCAUCUUAGUGGAGAUAUUUGCUUAGCAACUGUCAUUUUCCCCCUCUGAACCUAAGAUUAUGUCAUUUAUCCUAUUCUAUAGGCGCUUUCCUUGCCACUGUUUCCCCCACGACCACCCCCAUUCUUCAACUUCUUUUCAAAUUUUUGUGAAUAUUUUUUUUAAAAAUACAUCAACAGUGUAGUCUGUGGGAAUAAUUUUUUGCCCUCUAGAAUUAUGCCAGGAUGUUCUUACUUAUUAACCACUUCCUGAUUAAUAAUACUACUUGGAGAGAUUGCACAAAUAAGUAAAAUGCCUUCCUAUCCUGAGGAGGCCGUUUUAGCUGUCAAUCUAGCACACCCCUAAUCUAUUUGCCAGAGCUACUAGACCCUAUGACAGUUUGGUCAUUUGUUUUCCCUCUUAGCCCAGUCGGUUGUCAGAGAGAUGGCAAAGAGGAAAUGAGAAGCAAAAUUCCUGGACCUUCACAAUCUGGACCAUUUCAGAUUUUCUCGUAAGAAUUGGCCCACUUUCGAUGUUGCAAUUAGAUACAUUGUAGAAAAUUGAAGAAGUGAGUUUGCUUUUCAAAAUUAUAAACCAUGAUUAUUCCUUCAGAGAAUAUGAUAUUUGGAAUUUAACCUUUAUGUUCUCAAAGGACUUUGGUUGGCAGUGAUGGUGCUAUGUAAUGAUCAUCUUCAUUCUUAGGGAAUGGAGUGGCUUCUCUUUCCAAGUUAACCCCUAAGGCUCCCCACUCCCAUUUUCUUAUACCUGUUUUCUUCCUCUCUUGUCUCCAAUUUCUUCCAGGACAUUUUUAAUAUUCCAUUACAGCUUUAUGUAAUGGAAUAUAAAAAGCAAGUUACAAAACAAUUUUUUGUAAGAGUCUGCUUUGUGGCCCACUUUGUUCUAGAUUACAGAGAUCCAAAUCUAUGCAGAAAGACUGGUAUGUACAAAACUUCACUAAUGGUAAAAUAUCUCCUCUCUGAUCAUGCUUUCAUCAAACUUCCAUCCAUUCUCCCUUUUCUUUUCUUUUUUAGUUUAUUUUUUAGUUGUAGUUGGACACAUCAUCUUUAUUUUAUUUAUUUGUUUUUAUGUGGUGCUAAGGAUCGAACCCAGGGCCUCACACAUGGUAGGUGAGCGCUCUACUGCUGAGCCACAAUCCCAGCUUUUCCUUUUCUUUCUUUAGCCAAGUUCUCAAAACACUAGUCUGCAAUAGCAGCUUCUAGCUCCUUUAAUUUAUUCAUUAUUAAUCUCAUUGAGUUUGUCUUUUGCCCUUGCUGCUCUAAAUUUUCUCAAAAAUAUAAUCUGAAAUAAACAGCAUUGUCAUCUAUAUGAAUACAAUUCUUCCUUCUUCAAACUUAUUUUCUUGAGCACUGAACACCUAUUAUACUGUGCCUAAUAUAUUUUUAAAUCAAAAUAUAGGGAAGCAUUGUAAAUGGCUGGUAUACAUAAUAUAUGUUUCUAUAUAUAAAACAUAUUGAGAUGGAGGGAAUUUGGACAUAAUAAAGAUUGUAACACUAAAUCAAGACUUUUUUCAUAGAGAUACACUAAUGCAUCUUUUUUAUAGUUUAUUAUUUUGGAUGUUUUCUGUGUCUAUAAUGUUUCCCAUUCGAUUCUAAUAUACAGUAGUAGGGGCUCAAAUUUAUUAAAUUAAUGACUAAAUGAAAAGAAAAACAAAAAAGAAUCAUAAUCUUAAAAUAAGCAAGUGUAAUGGUAAAACUUUUAGGAGUUAUUUCAAAUAUAAAAGCAAUACUCAGAGGCCUUCCGGCUUUCUGUUGAAGAUGUUCUAACUGAGUCAGAAUUUCCUCUAAAGAUUAUAAAAGAAUAAACCUUAUAUGAUCAAAAUUAGCUAAGUUUCUAUCAUUUGAAUCUCUUACAAGAAUUCAAAUAAAAAUAGAACAAAAUUUGUUAAGAAAAAGAAAAAAGACAACAAUAAUGAAAAAGUUCACCAUUCGUACUAUGCCUCUUUUUUUUUUUUACAUUUGAAUCAGAAGGGAUAUAAUUUCUCAUUUUCCUGAGUGUACAGGUUGCAGAAUUACAUUGGUCAUGCAGUCACAUAUACACCCAAGCAAUAAUAAUGUCUAUUUUAUUCUGCUGUCCUUUCAUUCCCCCCUUCCCCUACAUCCCCUCCCAUCACUUCUCUCUACCCAAUCUAAUGUGACCCACUUCUUUUUUUUUCCCUCACAUCAUCAUACCUGUAUUACCUCCAGUCCUUAACCUUCUAUUUUAUCCUAACACCCACAUCUCUGUCUUACUCAGUUUAUACCGUAUUCUUGAUCAUUUAUGCAUAUUCUCUCACCAACAUUCUUUGUUCUUUGCACCCCUGUCCUGCUUCAGUCACCCAGAAACUACUAUAGUCCUGUUUUUCUACGCCUUCAUGUGUAUAAUAAAAAUAUUGUCAAGAGAAAAGUCUUAAGACAACACAGAUUGGCACCAUGAAAGAUUAAUGGUUUCCAGAUUUACCUGGAUAGGAACAGUUCUUUUUCCUUUUAAUGCCUGCGCCACAUCUCUAUCACCUCCCACUACUCUUAUAGUGACUACCAUAGAACAUAGGUUCCAUGAACUGCCUCAGAUUUCCUCCCAACAAAUAACACAAACCCACACACUCCUACCCACCUGUCUUUUUUUUCCAUUAAAUUGUUUUAUUUCUAACCUCCUUAUUUUCCUCAAUAGCCCUGAAUUACAAAUUAUCCUCUUUGUAAUCUUAUAAUUAAUUUUCAAUUUCUCUUAAUGAUCUUCUUUCCCUGCAGCCUAAAAACGUGCAGGUUUUGACUAUCCUUAAAAUCAGGGAAAUGAACAAUCAGACCUUUCAUCACAACAUACCUUUUGGCUAUGUUCUAGUAAUGCUUGUUCUUAUUAAACCUCUAAAAAUGAAUACUCCAUGUCUAGUAUCUCUACCCUGAGUCAUAUUUUAUUCUUCAUUCCAAAAUAAACUCAAGCUGCUAAAAAGGAUAAAUGUAAAACUAUAAAAGAAAAUAUUUUUAUUGUUUGAAGUUAUAGUAGUUUUAUCUUUGUAAGGGAAAGAAUAAAUUUCAAAAGAAAAAUAUCUUAGAGCUAAUGUUAAUUUAAAACUUUAGGGAGAAAUUGUAUAAUAAAACUUGAAAUAUCUGAGAAAAUGCUAGCACUGCCUAUGAUAGAGGAUUAAUAUCUAUACUCUUCCAGUUGAACUUAUCAAAACUGAUUUUUAAAAAGGACCAAAGACUCUGAACUAAUGGUCUUCCAAAGAUGAAAAUUUAAAUUUUAAUCAAAAUAGAAAGUAUUCUAUUUUGCUAGUGCAGACAUAAUAAAACUUAAUUUGGCACCUUACCUUUCAAAAAAAAAAAAGUCCUACGCUAUGCUUAUGAAGUAUAUUUCUAGGAGCAUAUAAAUCUGUAUGACUCCAUGAGAAGCCAAUUUUUCAUUAAUGAGUUAAAAGCUAUAAAAAUAAUUAGACCUUUUUUUCCUGUUAUAUUGACCUCAGAGAAUUUUCUUCAAGGAAAUACUCUAGUUAUCUUUUAUUAAGCCAUUACUAUAUUUUAAGAACCAUGCUAAGCAUUUGGGUUAUAGAAAUGUACAGGAGACACGUGUGAAGUACUUACAAAGUUGUUAUCAGGUUAUCUGGUGGGAAUAAGACAAGGCUUCACAAAAAGGAACUGCUUGAAGUGUCCCUUAAAUGUUGAGUAGAGUUAGACAAGUCUGUACCAAGAUAGUAGUAUGACUCAUCAUGGCUGUUCUCUUAAUUACCUUAGUGUGGCUGAGCAUAAGGUUCAUAUAGAGAAAUGUUGAGAAAUUAAGUUGAAAAAAAAAAAAAACAGACCAGAUUACAGAGUCCAAGAAUUUGAGAUUUAUCAUGAAGAUGAUAAGGAGAUUUGGGAGAACAACAAAGAGUAAGAAAAUAAUAUUUGCAUUUAGCUGGCUUCAUGAAGUCUCAAAUGGAGGAUGUUCAGUUUAAGAGUAAAAUGAUUUAAAAGAAUAUUGAGGAAGUCCAAGCAAGGGAUUUAGAGAGACUGAGCAAGGCCAGUGGAAAGGAGAAAUAGAAUCAAGAUAGCUUUAAUAAAUUUGACAAGAAAAUACGUUGUAUGAUGAACAGUUAUUUGUGAUGCUAACAUUUUAAACUAAUUGGAGAAAAACUAAAUUGGAACAUGGAUGGAUACUCAUAGUAGUCUUCAUUUGGUUUUGUUUUAUACUUCUAAUGUUAAGUAUAUAAAAAUUGUUGUCAUUUAGGUAGAUGUUUAGUAAUGUUUUUAUGGAAACUACCCUUAUGAUACAACUUAUUAAAAAAAUAAAAAUUCAACUUUUUUUAACUCUUGAAUACCAUAUUUUAAAAGAUACAAAGGCAGCACAUUCUUUAUAAUUCACCAGACAAUAAUUACAUUAUACUGUACUAUGUACUAUACACACACACACACACAUACACAAACACUAUAUGUAGUAGAGUUACUUGAUUACAUUUAAGAAUAUAUAGUUGCAGGUCCAUUACAAACAUUGCAUUUUGUGAUUGUUAUGUGCUCUUAUGAGAUCUUAAACAUUGAACAGAAUUGUCUUUACCACCGGUAGCAUAGACACCCCUGCUUCUCACCUGACCCAAAGCAACUUCUCCCUGCCACCCAUACCAUGAUCCUCCUGUGUACCCUGAAAAAAGAAAAUUGAAUUUUCCUCUACUAAUGAAUUGUGAUUUUUAGUAGCUAACCAUCUUGUUGAGCUUUGCCUCCUAAUAAAGUAUUCUGUUAGAGAAGGACAAGAUAUAUCUAUAGCAUAUAUUUGUGCUAGCAAAGAACCAGAUAACCAUAUUUCCUUCAAUUUUUGUCUCAUUGUUAUAAAUCGUUCAAAAGAAAUCUUUAAGUAAAAAUAUCGUGUAUGAAUGUAUUUGGGGUAUUUGUGUUGAAGUAGUGCAAAAUUGUAUAAAAAUGAAGAUUAAAAAUUAUUAUGGCCUAUGGUAGAUGAUUAAGUAACAACAUAAUUAAAAACAAACAAGCUUCCACUUAGCACAAGAUCAAACAACCAAAAAACUCUAAUAAAUAUGAUUAUUUUAAAAUUUGUAAUAGUUUCUUUAUAAUAUUGAUGUGAAGCAGUAUAGGAUACUGAAAUUAACAUAUUUUAAAUUAACAAGUCAUGUACAGCAUAAUUUAUUGUUGAGCAUAUUUCUUGUAUUCUAUAUUACCAUCAAUAGACAGUUUAUAGUACCUUGAUUAAACGGAUCUCUUAAAGAGAAUUUUGAACUUCAAUUUUUUGGGAAAAAUAUUCUAAACAGUUAUUUAUUCUAAAGGAAAGAAAGAAAGAAAAAAGACAAGUAGACAUGCCCUGCAAUCUAGAACUUCAAUGUAAUUUCACAAACAUCUAUAUCUAAUGAUGCACUGAAUGGUUGAGGAUAAUUCAAUUACCUUUUUUUUUUAUAAAUAUUGUGACAUUUGAUUAAGAUACUUCAUAAUGACAGUCAAAAUGCAAUUAGGAAACCAAUUAACCACAUCAAUACAACUUAUGUAAAGAAAGUUUAAUACAUAUAUUUCAAAUGAAUGAAUGAUUAAGAUAACCAACUUCCAUUUCUUGUCUAGAAAAUUUCCGGAUAAACAGAUGGUUAUGCAUGUCAUCUUGGUGGUUUUUUUCAUAAUCUAAAAGUAAAUCAUUAAGGUAAAUAACUAUAUUCCCUAACAUUCCAAGAAUAUUAAUAUUUUAUUCUCUAAUGUUUGAAUAUUACUUUCAUACUACAGAUUAAAGAAUCUAUUAAAGCUUUUAAUUCAUCUACUUUCUAUUAGUGAAAUCAACCUUCUUUCAUUUUUCUUAUAUACAUGCCUAAGAAGACAACUUGUUAGUAAGUACUCAAGUAUCUGUGUAAUAAAUGAAAAUAUACAGUCCCCUUAACUGAGCUCAUGAAUUCAAAAAGUGAUUUAUUUCCCCCUAAAGUAAGUGAAGUAUAUCUUAAAUUCUAAACCAAGUCAGAAUUUUUACAUAAAAUAUAUUGGGAUCAUAUACUAACACUAAUGUGUACACAUACUAAUUGUUCCCCCAAAACAUCACUACAUCAUAAGCAUGAAGCUAUAAAUAUAUUUAUCAUAUUCCUGAUACUGCUCCUCCAAAGACAAAUUGUUGUUCUUAACUUAAGUCUGUCAUUAGAGAUAUGAAAAUCCACCUAGAGAAAAAUUUAGAAGAAGAGCGCCAAAUAUUACUGCAGCAACAAAAAAUAUGUAGAAAUCGAGCACGUAAAUAUUUUUUGGAGUCAAACCGGAGAAAAAAGUAAGUAACUUGAAGAAAUUCAAGGUCAAUAUCAAUUAAUAGUAGGGACAAAGUCAUGACAGUGCUUUAUCUGUAAAAUGCUGAUCGAAAUUUUUGUGACUUUGUAAAUUUUAUUAUUGUUUUCCACCUAAAUACAAAUAUAAUAAUAUAUUGCCUAGUGCACUGACUUGUGACUUUUUUUUACAAUCUUUUUUUGUGAUAGAACAGUUUAUUACAGUGUCCUGUACACUUCUUAAAAUAAUUAUAAAAUGGUGCUGGGGAUGUAGCCCAAGCGGAGCACACUCACCUGGCAUGCGUGCGGCCCGGGUUCGAUCCUCAGCACCACAUACAAACAAAGAUGUUG